CCAAAAAAAUAUCCCCAAGUUUCUUUUGCUAUUUCCAGUUGCUGCAAAUUCCUGUACAUAGCUGCUAUCUACUCUCCCAUGUGAAUAUUCCCGGUUGGUUGGCGGAAGGGAGGCAAGAUGAGAUGAAGAUGGAUGGGUGGAUUUGUUUUGGGGUUCUUGAGGAAGUGUAGGAAUUUACCCAUAAAAAUUACCAAAAAAAGGAGGGAAGAGAUGGAUUGGAACUCGGAAGGUGGUGGUGGUGGUCCGUCCUCUCUGUGGAUAGGUGCUGAAGCAUGGAUGGAUGGAUGGUGAAGAUGAGGUUGGAAGGUGGACUUGAUUCCUGUGAUUACCGGUGCUGAUGUUUGUUUAUCGUCGUCCUCGGCAGUGCAUCAUGUGGACUAGCCGAAGACUGACCGAUUUCGACCGCCCUCUAGUUGAUUUCACAUUUUGUUAAUUAUUAAUGUAAUCUCCUUCGUAAGGAUGAUCCCCCACAGCAUAUUUUGUACCUUAGCUGCCUAGCAGCCUUUAAUCCCUGUUCGUCCAAUGGUGAUGAACGAACUCCCCAAUGUAUUUGUGUAAUCCUUUGCUAUUAUCAAGUAAAUGAUGUUUAUCUAUAUCUAUCUAUCAGUAAAGUAAUAUUCCCGGUUACUCUUUUACCCCUUUUUCUUGUGUUGCACGUCUUGCUAUAUCUAUCUACCUGUUCUUUCCAGUAAAUAAGUGUGAAUGAAAUGAAAUGGUUGAUUGUGAUCGUUGCUUGGCGCUUGCGGUGACGUGGUGGUGACCGGCGCGCGUGUCCGGCGACGGUUGAAGCGGCGUGGUCGACAAUGGUGGCUGUGGAACUCGGAUGGUUGGGAGCAGUAUGGGGGCGAUGUGGGCGUGGAACCCCCCGUGAGAGAGACCGGCGAGCGACCGCGACGGCACCGGAGUGGCCACCUGGUCGUUUUCCCCUUCCGGUGCGCUGGCCCUGCGAGGAGGGGAUUGGUACAGCCGGCGGCGUGCGCGUCGUCCCUGUCGCCGUCGCACAUGCCAAAGAUCUUCUUCCUUUUCUCGGGAGCCAGCAUCGUACAUGGCGGACUUUCUUUGGUAGUGCUCCGCUUCCUUUUCUCGGUUUGUACUACUACUAGUGGUACGUUCUCCACCCCCGUGGCACGCCGGUACGUUUUUGCUUCGCCUUAUUUGGUUGUUCUCGUGUCACGUCACGUAUGGCGUCGUAUGGUUCUUGCGCGGCCGAGCUUGAUCUCCCUGCCGGUAUUGUGUUCGUCUCCGACGACGGCGACCUAACGGAGUACUAGGAGGGAGGGAUCGAGCGACCGGACCCGGGCCGGAGGAAUGUCGCGCCACCACCACCCCAAAUCUCGCAAAUCUAGCGCCAUCAGAGGGGAGGAGACGGAAUGAUGAUGGGGUGGUGGCGUGUCCCGAGCCGGAGAGCGACGCGGGCGACGGGAUGGGCGCGCGUGGGCGCGGCGACUCUUCCUCCCUCGCUCGCCCCGCGCCGCGCGGCACUCGAUCCAUCGGAUCGGCUCGCCUUGGCCUGGCCUGGCCUGGAGCAGCAGUACUGGCGUGGGGCCUCGCGGGGUGGUGCGGCGCCCUUUGCCACCUUUGCAUCGUGUGGUCGAGGGAACCCCGAGGCCUGUCCGGUUCUACGAGACAGCGGCCAGAGGCAGAGCCUUCUUUAUCUUCUUUUCCUUCCACCCUCUCUGUUCCUUCUUUCGAGCUCCUUCUUUUUCUUCAAAAAUCGUUCCGUCGCGUUCACGCACCUGCCUCGCUCGGUAGGGCUGCACUGCACACAUCGUAGUAGAUGGCGACGAUUCAGCUUCCAUCUGUAUCUCGUAGCAGCCUCUAGUACGAUUGUAUCUCACUCUACACCAUCUUCCGGAACACAGUAGAGUACCAUUCCAUCCUUGUGAAUAGAGCAAGGCCACGAGAAAACCUGAGGCCGAAUUGAACUGAACGCGACCCUUCUUUUCACUUCAGAUGCAGAAGCCACGCCGUCAUCAAAACGCGCAGAGGGGAGGGGAGGGCCCUACGGCGAGUGCCAAUCUGAUAAUUACCUGCAGCCAAAGCCAAAGCCGAAGAUAAUUACCUGCAACAAAAGCCAAAGGCAAAGUAACAGUGGACGCAGCAGGCAGAAGUGAUAGUCAUUCGCAGAAAAAGAAAGAGAGAAAUGAUGGUGGUUCAGAGCUUCAGAUGCAGACGCCUGAUGCGCGCCCUGCUCGAUUGCUCUGCUCACCACGAGUUCUUUCCCUUUCUUCCUUCACCACAUUCACGGCGUUUGGUUGCUGCAUUGAUGCAGCCUCGUCUUUUCGCUCGCUGGGUUGAAAUGCGUAGGUCCCCUUUCACCUACCACGAUCAGUCGAUUGCUGUUUGUGCGUCUCUUUGGUUCACUGUACUGGAGAGGAACACUUGAAUGGAUAAAACACAUGAUUGUUGUGCUGCAUCCACCUGAAUUCUGCAUUAUUGAAUCGGUGUUUGGUGGUGCACAUUAGAAGGACACAGAAUAAUUUCCGAUAGGUUGGAACAGAGCAGAAUUUUCCCUGUAAAAUUUGGACUGAGCUUGACUACCGUAACUGCAUCUGCAGUUGGAUCAGUGACAUGUGUGCCUAACAGACGGCACCGAAGCAGCGUCCGUAAAAUUUACUACGUAGUGUAAACGGAUUCAAAGGGGGGAAAUACUUGCAGAUCAUAAUCCUACGAAACAAACAAAACAGGCGGAAUUUCUAAGGAUCUGAAUCUUCCUAAAGUUACCUGGAUAUCCUUCGAAUCAAAGAGCCUCGAGUUUUACUUUGCCAACAAAAGCGACCUAGGUCUCUGUUGAGUUAUAUGGAUGGAAUACCCGAUAUCCAUUUGGACGGACUCGACGGAGCUCUAGCGUAGAUUCCUGCCGUUGUCAUGGGGCGGUGAGGUUAGAGUUUCUCGUCAUGUGGUGAGAUUUGGUGUCACUUGUUUCAGAUCUAUUCAAGGCUUUAACGACGACGACUGCGGCUCCAGGGCGCUAGUCCUUCGGGGCACGUGCACGAAGACUUCCCGGCUGUCAUCGACAAGGUCAAGCCGGCUUCGAUAGGUGAGCGGCGACAGCGGUGCGUUGGCGGCUUGUUCUGGCGGCGGUAGUGAUCGUUUGGUGGUCUCAGUAUCUUGAUGUAAUUUUAUUACGUUUGAGGUGAUUUGUACAUCCGGCGAAUUGAUAAUACAUUUGAAUCAUUUUCGUAAAAAAAGUCUAUUCAGUUGGCGUUUGUGAUGGAUUAGGGAUGGGCUUAGGCCUAUAAGACAAUAAUUCCUGGUUAAUCUCUAAGCGCAUUAAUGUGCACGACAAGUGGUGAGAAGUUUACUACUAUACUGCUACAGUAAAAAGAGUUAAACCUCUUUAUAAGGACUGCUCUAUCAGUUGCUAUUAAGACCUUGAGAAUAGGAGUUGUACACGCGCGCUUCUCCUCCGCUGCUCGCCACGCCUCGCCUCGUCAUGUCGCGCGUGCGCCGUGGGUUGCGGGUUGUGGGAAUGAGCCGAGCCGAAGCUUAUUUUUGCUCGUCAGGUUAAUUAACGAGUCUCUUACGAAAGUGCCACUGUGUGAGACGUUGGACCAUGGGCUAUUGGCGGACUCGGUCGUGGGCCUAAGCCUAGGCCCAUCUACUCCACGGCCUAUAUAAGAAGGCUUUGGUCAGUGGAGUGAACCUAACUCAGUUCGCUCACUCCCGCUCGCACAACCCUAGCCGUCAUCUACCGUUCCUCUCUCUGUGCUGCUUUCGGUGAUCCCAUCCCGACGACCGCGUGCACGGUUGGUCGGGAGAGCAGGUGCAUCCGGAACCCUGCCGUUCGAGAUCCUGUCCGGAAGAACGUUAAUAAGGUUUUUGGGGAGCGUCUCGACGCGACUGCUCCCGAUCCGUCCCCGUCUCUGUCCGCCUCUACUUCCACUACUUCCUCUGCAUCGACUUCAUGGCUGACGACGAAGCCGCCAAGAAGAAGGCAUCGGCCGAUGCCGAGGCUGCCGCUACCGUGUUGGCCUGGCCAACAGGAGGGUAUGACUCGUUCAUCCCCUAUUUGCUCGUUCAUGUGUUGGCCGUACGUAUGUUGUUCAUAGAUGUUUUGAUUCUAUGAACUGUACAUGCUCACAUGCUUAUGUAUGCGUAUGAGAUAUAUAGCAUAUUUGUCAUGCUUACUGUUUACUCAUGGAUUAGAUUAGUCAGAAAAAUUGCUAACAUUUCCAAAGUUUGGAUCGCGAGAACUCUGUCACUAGCGAAAAACUCAUGUAAUUAUUCCCCUCAACGGAACGACAAGCCAAGAGGAAAGGACAAGGGAUCAAAGACGAAUUGGGUGGCUGCCGUGAUCAGGGUGAUCAACGGCAGGAGGCGGCGGCCGCCACGGUCGGAGUGGCCAGCGACUCUAGGCAGAGGAGGAGUAGGAGGAGGCACUAUUUCAGUUCGUCUUUGCUCUCAACUAUUAAUGAAAAUUGACGACAAAGUUCGCUCGUUGGAACAUUGCUAGAGGUCACACUGCUGUGGUUCAGUUAACACAAAGAUUACACUGAAUGGUUUAUACAUGGUUUGGUCUUGCCGAUGGCCACCGUUCAGUCGCCUCUGGCCGUGCGUAUGGCGUCGCGUACGAGAGAGAUGGAUACAUGUUCUUGAUACUCAGACCGUCUGUUUAUAUAAGAAAACCUGUUGCAGCAAACAUUUAAACUUGUUGAGAGCUUCCGUGUCACAUAUUAUUCGAGUUGACAUCAUCUGGCUUCGUUUGAAUGCAUGCCAGCGGGGAUCUGAAUCUGAUAAAGCCGCAUAAAUUCUGGCGUGAGAAGAACGUGAUCCAAGUCGGCACCGACGCGUAGUACAUACCCCCGAUUGAUUGCCGCGCUUGUGGCCACGAUUUGGUUGCCGCUUGAUGUGCGACAAGCCGCAAGGACGGAGGAGCCUACCCCAUGUACGUAGUACGGAGUACGCGCCAAGAAAAGAUCUCGAGGCCGCGCCACGCAAGCCGCUCCGUUAAAGAUCUCCGGCCGAUGUUAUCCAUCCAUCCACCCCACUUGCCGGUGAGGGGGUCGCCGUCACGUGAGACGGUGAGAGCAACGGCGGCGCUUUCCGCCGUGGCACCACCACCCAGCGUACGGCACCUUGUUCGUUUCCCCGGCCCGGCCGGCCGGGAAAAAAGAUCUUCCUCUGAUUUUCCAACCUGAUGAAGAUCUUUAUAGUGGGAGCAACGACGGCCUGGAGCAGCAUAUCAGGUUGGAAGUAUGGAGUAAUUGGGAUUCCAACGAACAUGAGACCUUUUUUAUGGUGAUAAUAAUAAUAAUAAUGUAACAACAAUCAAGUGAGUAAUAAUGAAAUCUUUACUCGACAGUGCAUGCUCCCCUCCCCUCCCAUGCAACUGCAAGCAGAGUUGAUGCCUUGGCAAAACCGUGACUCUUUGCUUUAAGUAACGAGCAUAGCAUCGCAUCGCACCGGUCACGUGGGCAGGUGGUUCGGGCGGUACGUCUAUCUACUUAACCACCAUCGCCGGCCUUAAACACUCCCCGACCAAUUCGAGCAAAGCGACAAAGCACGUACAAUUUGACCAACUUGCCUUGCAGUUGCAGGCCUACCACCGCUCCGGAAAAGCAAAGCUCACGCGCUAGAUCGAGGACACCCUAAAAGAUCUAGAAAUGUAUUGGGUCGAUGGAACUGUACCGCCACGGUACCGCCGUCCGGCCAUGCCAUGCCGUGGCGCUUUGCUCCGGUUGUCGCGUUGCGUAGACGCAAGCCGUACGUGCACGCGGCCCGCCACAGCUCGUCGUAGCACGUACUACCGGAUAAGGCCUGGUCGAGCCACUGAACAUGGACAACAAUGGCGAUGGAUGCAUCGUUGGGUGCCCGCACCCGUACUCCUGUAGACGGAUAGGCUGGGCCAUGGUCACGUACUCAUGUGACAUCGACUAGGACGGCCGUCCGCAACCGGCGCGCGCAACGCUACAAAGCUUUCUCUGUGUGGCUGUACCAGCCGUGGCAUGGCGUCGUGUACGCGCCGUGCGGAGCCGCGGAAACAACGGCGAGAUCAUGACAAAACUGCGUACGUAGUACGUACCGGGAGCGGGAGCCGCUCGACCCAUGCGAUGGGAUAAGAUCGAGCUGCAGUUCAGUGCGCUUUUGCAGGGAUAUGGUUUGACUUCACCUACCCUGUCCUGUUCGGCCGAAGACGAGGCGGACACAUCUCUUGGCAACUCCGCCACUCUUCAACUGGUCGACUACAACUCUACAAGUACUUCUUGCAAUAUCCUAGAACAGCAGCCUCAGAAAUAAUAAUCCUAGAACACAAGAUCUGAUCGAGUCGUGACCAAUGAGCAUGUACGUACUGCAGCUGCACAUUUCGCCUUCACCGGUGGUUACACUAGUAAGUAAGUAUGAUGAAUCCAGAGCAAGCCGGAGAAGAUGGGUUCCUUGCUCCCUGAAUCUCGACCGGCGUCCGUCAAAUCGCACGAAAUCUGGCUGCUGCCGAUAUUGUAUACGGCACCACCCAAAAGAUUUCGUGGUUGGCAGCUGGAGUACUCCUCGUGGUAGUGGAGUAGGCUGUGUCUGAUGGGAUGGACUGGAAAAGACACGCACCACAAAUACAGUACUACACAAAUGCACCACGCCUCCAGACAAGACAGCGCCUACUAUCAUGACCAACCCACACAGUGCAUAGGCUUGCGCACGCAAGGAGCAGCCAGUUGUAUCCGGGGUUCUCAACUUCCCCGUCGUGGGCCUGUACGGUCUGCACUAACUAGUUCAUACUCAAGGACUUGAAGGGGUCUCAACUCAAGCACGUAGAGUACUUCGGUCAAAAGCCUCGUGACUGACCAGUGGCCUUGUUUUCCAUUUUAGGCCCUGUUCGGAAUUCCACCUGCUCCGCGAAAUAGCAGGAGUUGUGGAGCCACGAAACAGCCGUUCUGCGUUCUUUUACUGUGACUCCACCCGCUCCAGGAGGGGAGCCGUGGAGUGGAGGAAAGCCGAACAUGGCCUUAAUCUUUGAGCUACGACCAAUGGCGCUGUUAAAAUUACCUAACUAAUAUAAUACUCCUAUAUCACUAGUACUAUAUUGUCUACUAAAAAUUUGAAGUAUUCAUGACAAACUGAACGUCAGCAUUUUUUAGCAUGGUAAGUCCAACAUAUUUUAUGACAAAUUAUAAUAUCAUGAAAAUGUCAAUUCUCUUUAGUAAGUAAGGUAUGCCAAAUCCUUGCCAUGUUCAGUUUUUGCUCAAAUUUGCCUUGCUUGCUAAAAGAAAUUGUCAUCCUCACGGCAGCAUGAUUUGUCAUAGAAAACAUUCAAUUUGCUAUGGUAAAAAAAAUCUGACGGCAGAGUUUAACAUUCUUGUAAUUUUAAAUAGUGUUUUUUGAAAGGUACCUUCAAGUAGUGUUUGUUGAUGUAUUCUUGUCUUGUGGGAGAGAAGCACCAGAAUUGGAUAUUGUCAACCAUUGGAUAUCUUCUUGGCUGUACCGGAUUAUGUAAACGUCCACAGGAAGUUCUAAACCUCAAGCUUUGUCACGUUUGCAAGAGUAGCGUAGCACCCUCACCGUGCAUUCUCGCCUCUUGCUGCCAUACUCUUUUUCUUUCUUUGUUCUUUUUUCUUUUUUUGCGAAAAACUUGUUGUCUCACUCGAUGCCGAAUUAGCUGCUGUCAGUGCGGGAACAUGACUGAAACAGAAUUCACAGAGGUUGGUUUAAGGCAGGCGAUGAGAGGAGGAGGACUACGAGCAUGUAGAAUUCAUGGCUUGGGGAUACGCCGCUAGUUCAGAUUCAUUAACACUCGAACUAAUGUGACAACAACGUGAAUGUCAAACUUUAGAUUCAUUAAUACUCGAACAAAUAUUGUUCACGACUUUAUUACGAAAAUCUGCAAGAAAAAGGCAAAACAUUCCUCCGCAUCCAUAACCUUUUUCAACAAAUAGUUCAUAUUUCGUAACAACUAAUUUAUUAGACUCGAAGACCAACUUAAACUCUUCUCUACACAAAAGGGAGCCACUAACGAGGUUUUUUUGAUGGCGGGGACAUGUUGCACGAUCCUUUCCGAAGUAAAUUUCCGAUCGACCAUGCCAACACCAUGAACGGAACUACUCCCUCUAUUCCCCAUCAAUACGGACCCGUGGCCUAUGACCUGGUAAGAAGAAAACAAUAAAAUGUCAGCACACACAUGAACACUUGCACCUGUGUUCGCCUACCAAUCAAUUGACUGGCAAACUGAAAAAUACAGUAAAUAAAUUACCGUACCCAGAUGCAGCACUCUCAUUGUUGCCCACAAUCAUAUUGACAGACUUGAAGUUCCGCCCUGACUUCUUGUACUUGUUUGGGCACUUGUUGGCCCAAUGUUCCUCCGAACCACAAGUAAAGCAUCCAUCUCCUUUCUUGUUCUUCUUGAAGGUCUUCUUACAUUUCUUCUUCAAGCCGGUAUUCUAUUGGACACCGUUCUUUCCCUUGGACUUGUGGGAAUUGAAGUUCCUCCGAUGCACCAUAUUGGCGAUAGAAGUACCUUCGACCCAUUUCCCGUGCGAGUCCUUUGUCUCGAGUUCCGCUCGACACUCAGAUGGUCGCUGACAUCCUCUACCGAGAAUUCACGCCUCUGAUAUUUCAGAGUGGUAGCAAAGUUUCGCCAUGAAUUGGGGAUCUUAGCGACUAUGCAACCCGCGACAAAUUUGCCCGGUAAAUCGUACUUAAAAAGCUCAAGCUCCUUAGCGAUGCAUAUUAUCUCAUGAGCUUGUUCCAAUACAAAAUGGUUCUCGACCAUUUUGUAAUCGUGGAACUGCUCGAUGGUAUACAUCUCGCUCCCAGCAUCGGUGGCGCCGAACUUAGAUUCGAGCGCCUCCCACAAGUCCUUGGCAACCCGCCAUGUAAAUAUGCAUCAACCAACUUAUCUCUCGGAUCACGCUUAGAACUGCUCCGAGAAAUACGACGGUGGCUUCCUUGAACUCCUCCUGUUCAGGAACAAUCCUUCCCUUGGAAGGGACACCGGCGACCCAGAACACGUUCAUAGCCGUGAGCCAUAAGGUGGUUUUGGUCUGCCAACGCUUAAAGUAAGUACCGGUAAACUUAUCCGGUUUUAGUGCAGCAGCAAAAGGGACGAUAGUGGGCGUGGAGGCAGAUGCGAUCUGUUUCGCGUGACGGCUAGGGUUGGUAGACGCCUCACAUAUAUAGGCGUGGCGGCAUGGGCUGGACCCACGUCCGAGUCUGUAACAACCCACGACCCGAUAUCUCUGGUCGUGGCCCGACUGUCAAAAACUCUCGUUCCUGACCGGCAAAAAUAAGCGCAUAGGUGUGAGCUCAGCUUGGCUCCUUUGCGCAAACUGCGGCGGGCUGCGGAGAAGGAGCGCGCGGGAACCACUUCUCGUCUCAAGCUCCAAUAGCAUAUGGAAAAGAAUCCCUUAUAAGGAGGUCCAACUCUUCCACAACUAGCGGUAUAGGACUAAACUUCCCACCACAUCCAUUACCAUUUUACCCACAUGGGCACUUAGAGAUUUUUCUGAAAUUGUUAGAUGGGCCCUAGGCUCACCCUGAUAUUUCAACAGUAGCACCCGUUUCAUGUAUUUUGUAAGUUUACGUACCAAAGUGACCGUAACGGAUAAGUUAAGGCACCAUCGGUGUAUUUAACUCUUUAUCAAUUGUGCAGAGCAUAGUAGCCGGUGUCGGUAUACUUCACAACCGUGGCACCGAGAAGUCAGGAGCGAAAUUUCUCUGCCCUUCAGUUUUGCGUGAAAAUUAGUAAAUCUGGACCUGUUCUCAAACUUUGGCACAAAAUGAACCCGAUCCAACUUUUUCCCCACAAAAUGGCCCGUUUUCCCGUGAUGCCCAAGGAUGAGAUGCUAUGCUUAAUAACAUGACGUCCUAACCCGGGCAAUGCUCUAUAGCAUGACUUCCCAGCCUAAGGCGCCAUGGUAUCUAGCAUGACGCCCCAGGUCCGGACGUCAUGCAAAUAGGCCAUUUUGUAAAAAAAACCGGGUUCAUUUUGUGUCAAAGUUUUGCGACAUCACUAAUAGAAUGCUACACAUGUACUACAAGCGUCCACAUCAACAUUGCAAAUCACUUUACUUGAAGUUUUUUGUUGUUAUUGCUGCGUUGAAUAGGAUUGCCUGUCUCCGGUUCGCGAACACCAGUGAGAGCAUCUAUAGUCGGACCUGGCAAAUUCGACCCCUCAAAUGCACGCGGACGUGUCCGGACGCGUUCGCGGACACUGACCGGUCACGUCUCAAAUACUGCUUUCCUUAUCCGGAUACCUCAAAUUAGAAACCUCAAAUCUAUAUUAUUGCAUACAACGUAAAGCGAUGUUUAAGUGAAGCUCGUCUGGCUCCGUUGUGCCCAUGUCCGGCGCCUGGCUGCGCUCCCCGGAGUGUUGGUCCGGUCGCCGGCAAGGUAGAGUAGGGUAUGGGACACGAGGCGACUCAUGGGACUCAAGGCGCCGCCGUCUCCCAUGCCCUACUCUUCCUCGUCGGAGCCCAGAACCCGAACGGUGCUGGUGUACGUCAUCAAUGAUGGAUCUGUCCUAGGACGAGCCGGCGACAUCCACCACCACGCGGUUGUGGUGCCCAGACUACUAGACCAUACGGGGCGCCGAAGAAUGCGACUCCGCCUCGCCGACGUCCACCACCGUGAGGGCUGCCGCCGCCUCCCGCGCCCGCUGCCUCACACGGCGGGCUUGCUGUGCCAUGUUUUUGGUGGGAAACGUUGCAUGGAAAACAAAAAAAAAA
rnacentral:lncRNA from 1 species